UACGUAGGGUGCGAGCGUUGUCCGGAAUUAUUGGGCGUAAAGAGCUCGUAGGCGGCUUGUCGCGUCGGAUGUGAAAGCCCGGGGCUUAACUCCGGGUCUGCAUUCGAUACGGGCAGACUAGAGUUCGGCAGGGGAGACUGGAAUUCCUGGUGUAGCGGUGAAAUGCGCAGAUAUCAGGAGGAACACCGGUGGCGAAGGCGGGUCUCUGGGCCGAUACUGACGCUGAGGAGCGAAAGCGUGGGGAGCGAACAGG
rnacentral:rRNA from 1 species